AUGCAGAGCAACGGCGAAAUUGCGCCACCUGGCACCGUCGCAUCGUCUGUUCUUCCACCGCCGAUGGCGGAGCCCGCCCUCUUUGAGAGGGCUCGGACAUGGCAGAAGCUCGAAUCGAAGCGGUACGGCACUAAGCGAAAGUUCGGCUUUGUCGAGGCGGAGAAGGAGGACAUGCCUGCGGAACACGCGAGGAAGGUGCUUAGAGAUCACGGGGACAUGUCGUCCAAGAGAUUUAAACAUGAUAAGCGAGUGUACUUGGGAGCGCUUAAGUUUGUUCCUCAUGCUGUCUACAAGCUGCUCGAGAAUAUGCCAAUGCCAUGGGAGCAGACCAGUGAAGUUAAGGUUUUGUACCAUGUAAGUGGAGCAAUAACUUUCGUGAACGAAGUGCCGUUGGUUGUCGAGCCGAUAUAUUUGGCUCAGUGGGGGACAAUGUGGAUUAUGAUGAGGAGGGAGAAGAGGGAUCGUCGGCAAUUCAAGAGAAUGCGGUUUCCACCAUUCGAUGACGAGGAGCCUCCGUUAGACUAUGCUGAUAAUCUGUUGGAAAUUGUUGAUCUGCCGGAGCCAAUUCAACUGGAGUUGGAUGAAGAAGAAGACUCUGCUGUGUGUUCUUGGUUUUAUGACCAUAAGCCUCUGGUGAAGACAAAGCUCAUCAACGGUCCAAGUUAUCGCAGGUGGUAUCUCUCGCUUCCGAUUAUGGAAACGCUUCACCGGUUUGCAGGGCAGGUACUUUCCGAUUUGGUUGACCGCAAUUAUUUUUACUUGUUUGAUAGGGAGUCUUUUUUAACUGCCAAAGCUCUUAAUAUGUGUAUACCAGGUGGACCCAAGUUUGAACCUUUGUAUAGGGGCAUGGAGAAAGGGGAUGAGGACUGGAAUGAGUUUAAUGACAUAAACAAACUCAUUAUCCGGUCGCCUCUCCGAACUGAGUACAGAAUCGCAUUCCCUCAUCUCUACAACAAUAGACCUAGGAAGGUAAAGCUUUCUGUUUAUCGUACUCCCAUGGUUAUGUACAUAAAAACUGAGGAUCCUGAUAUACCUGUGUUUUGUUAUGAUCCACUGAUACACCCAAUACUGAGCACUAACACAAAGAAAACUUAUGAUGAUGAUGAGGAGGAGGAAGAUGAUGGUUUUGUUUUGCCGAAAGGGUUGGAACCGUUUUUGAAUGAUACUCAGCUUUAUACUGACACCACAGCUGCAGGAAUUUCCUUGCUGUUUGCCCCACGCCCUUUCAACAUGAGAUCUGGUCGGACGAGACGGGCAGAGGAUAUACCUCUUGUGUCUGAAUGGUAUAAAGAGCAUUGCCCUCCCUCGUAUCCAGUUAAAGUUCGGGUCAGCUAUCAGAAAUUGUUGAAAAGUUUUGUGUUGAAUGAGCUGCAUCAUAGACCACCCAAGGCUCAUAAGAAGACGCAUCUGUUUAGAUCUCUUAAAGCUACCAAAUUUUUCCAAACUACAGAACUUGAUUGGGUUGAAGCGGGUCUUCAAGUCUGUAAGCAGGGAUAUAACAUGCUAAAUCUAUUGAUCCAUAGGAAGAAUUUGAAUUACCUUCACCUUGAUUAUAAUUUUAAUCUGAAGCCUGUGAAAACCUUGACAACAAAAGAGCGUAAGAAAUCUCGGUUUGGUAAUGCUUUUCAUCUCUGUCGUGAAAUCUUGCGGUUGACAAAGCUUGUAGUUGAUGCCCAUGUCCAGUUCCGUUUGGGUAAUGUUGAUGCCUUCCAAUUGGCUGACGGCCUGCAGUACAUAUUUUCCCAUGUUGGUCAGUUGACUGGCAUGUACCGUUACAAGUACAGGUUGAUGCGGCAGAUUAGAAUGUCCAAAGAUUUGAAGCACUUGAUUUACUACCGGUUCAAUACUGGGCCAGUAGGGAGAGGACCCGGAUGUGGCUUCUGGGCACCAAUGUGGAGGGUGUGGUUGUUCUUCCUUCGUGGCAUAGUACCUCUUCUGGAAAGGUGGUUGGGAAAUUUACUUGCCCGACAAUUUGAAGGGCGCCAUUCAAAAGGAGUGGCAAAGACUGUAACUAAGCAGCGUGUCGAAAGCCAUUUUGACUUGGAGCUUCGAGCUGCUGUCAUGCAUGAUGUUCUUGAUGCCAUGCCAGAGGGCAUCAAGCAAAAUAAGGCCAAGGCUAUAUUGCAGCAUCUCAGUGAGGCAUGGCGUUGUUGGAAGGCAAAUAUUCCUUGGAAGGUUCCUGGUUUGCCAGUUCCCAUAGAGAAUAUGAUUCUUCGUUAUGUCAAGUCAAAGGCCGAUUGGUGGACAAAUGUUGCUCAUUAUAAUCGUGAACGUAUAAGAAGAGGUGCUACAGUGGAUAAGACAGUUUGUCUGAAAAAUCUUGGGAGAUUGACUCGCCUUUGGCUAAAGGCAGAGCAGGAACGACAACACAAUUAUCUGAAAGAUGGUCCAUAUAUUACACCAGAAGAGGGAGUUGCAAUGUACACGACAACUGCACAUUGGUUGGAGUCAAGAAAGUUCAUCCACAUUAAGUUCCCCCCUUUGUCAUACAAGCAUGAUACAAAGCUACUUAUCCUUGCUCUCGAGAGGUUGAAGGAAUCUUACGCUGUGGCUGUAAGAUUGAACCAGCAUCAAAGAGAGGAACUGGGUCUCAUUGAACAAGCCUAUGAUAACCCACAUGAAGCUUUGUCACGAAUAAAGCGCCACUUGCUCAGUCAGCGUUCCUUCAAAGAAGUUGGCAUACAGUUCAUGGAUUUGUACAGCGUUCUCAUACCAGUUUAUGAGAUUGAUCCUCUUGAGAAGAUUACAGAUGCAUAUCUUGAUCAAUAUUUAUGGUAUGAGGCUGACAAAAGGCAUCUCUUCCCAAACUGGAUCAAGCCUGCAGAUUCAGAGCCACCCCCACUCUUGGUUUAUAAAUGGUGUCAGGGAAUAAACAAUUUACAGAGUAUAUGGGACACAAGUGAGGGGCAGUGUGUGGUGAUGCUUCAGACUAAGUUUGAGAAGUUCUUUGAAAAGAUUGACUUGACAAUGCUAAAUCGGCUUCUAGGUCUGAUUCUUGACAGGUAUCUUGCUGAUUAUAUCACUGCGAAAAACAAUGUGUUAUUGUGUUACAAAGAUAUGAAUCAUACAAAUUCUUAUGGUCUUAUACGUGGUCUUCAGUUUGCAUCAUUUGUGGUGCAAUAUUACGGGCUUGUUGUGGAUCUGUUACUUCUUGGAUUGACUCGUGCCAGUGAGAUUGCGGGUCCACAGCAGAUGCCAAAUGAGUUCACUACUUAUCAGAACACAAAGGUUGAGACUCGGCAUCCUAUCAGGCUGUACUCUCGAUAUAUAGACAGGGUGGAUAUGCUGUUCUGCUUCACUCACGAGGAGGCUAGAGACCUUAUCCAGAGAUAUCUGACUGAGCAUCCAGAUCCCAAUAAUGAAAAUAUGGUUGGAUAUAAUAAUAAGAAGUGCUGGCCAAGAGAUGCCAGAAUGAGGCUCAUGAAACAUGAUGUAAAUCUUGGGAGGAGCGUUUUCUGGGAUAUGAAGAACCGUCUUCCUCGAAGCGUCACAACUUUGGAGUGGGAAAACAGCUUUGUUUCUGUUUACAGCAAGGAUAAUCCAAAUUUGCUCUUCAGUUUGUGCGGGUUUGAAAUUAGGAUACUUCCCAAGAUAAGAAUGAGUCAGGAAGCAUUUAGCAGCACGAGAGAUGGAGUUUGGAAUUUGCAGAAUGAGCAGACAAAGGAGAGGACUGCAGUUGCUUUCUUACGAGUUGAUGAUGAACAGAUGAAGGUGUUUGAGAAUCGUGUGAGGCAGAUCCUUAUGUCCUCAGGGUCCACAACAUUCACAAAAGUAGUCAACAAAUGGAAUACAGCCCUUAUUGGUCUUAUGACUUACUUCCGUGAAGCAACUGUGCAUACACAAGAGCUGUUGGAUUUGCUGGUGAAAUGUGAAAAUAAAAUUCAGACUCGUAUUAAGAUUGGAUUGAAUUCGAAAAUGCCGAGCAGGUUUCCACCUGUCAUCUUUUACACGCCAAAAGAAAUUGGAGGUCUUGGCAUGUUAUCUAUGGGUCACAUACUGAUUCCACAAAGUGACCUCAGAUACAGUCAGCAGACAGAUUUUGGUGUGACGCACUUUAGGAGUGGAAUGAGUCAUGAUGAGGACCAGCUGAUUCCAAAUCUUUACCGUUACAUACAGCCAUGGGAGAGUGAAUUUAUAGAUUCACAGCGUGUUUGGGCAGAAUAUGCAAUGAAAAGGCAGGAAGCUCAGACACAAAAUCGGCGUCUAACCCUUGAAGAUUUGGAAGAUUCAUGGGAUAGGGGAGUACCUCGCAUAAAUACUUUGUUCCAGAAGGACCGUCACACUUUAGCUUAUGACAAAGGGUGGAGAGUUCGCACAGAGUUUAAGCAGUACCAGGUCUUGAAGCAGAAUCCGUUCUGGUGGACACACCAGAGGCAUGAUGGAAAAUUGUGGAACUUGAACAACUAUAGAACCGAUGUUAUCCAAGCUCUUGGAGGUGUUGAGGGAAUACUUGAGCACACCUUAUUCAAAGGAACAUACUUCCCUACUUGGGAGGGUCUUUUUUGGGAGAAGGCAUCUGGCUUUGAGGAAUCUAUGAAGUUUAAGAAGUUAACCAAUGCACAAAGAUCUGGGCUCAACCAAAUCCCCAAUCGUAGGUUCACCCUUUGGUGGUCGCCAACCAUAAAUCGGGCCAAUGUAUAUGUGGGUUUCCAAGUGCAGCUAGAUCUGACAGGAAUUUUUAUGCAUGGGAAGAUCCCAACCUUGAAGAUAUCAUUGAUUCAGAUAUUUCGAGCCCACUUGUGGCAGAAGAUUCAUGAAAGUGUUGUCAUGGAUCUCUGUCAGGCUUUGGAUCAGGAGCUGGAUGCUUUGGAAAUUGAAACUGUGCAGAAGGAAACUAUACAUCCGAGGAAAAGUUACAAAAUGAACAGCUCCUGUGCUGACAUUCUUCUCUUUGCUGCCCAUAGAUGGGCAAUGUCAAAACCUAGUCUUGUGGCUGAAACAAAGGAUGUGUUCGAUCAGAAAGCAAGCAAUAAGUACUGGAUAGAUGUACAACUCCGUUGGGGAGACUAUGAUUCUCAUGACAUUGAACGUUACACUCGAGCCAAGUUUAUGGAUUACACAACUGACAACAUGUCUAUUUAUCCUUCUCCCACAGGGGUGGUGAUUGGUAUUGAUUUGGCUUAUAACUUACAUUCUGCGUUUGGUAACUGGUUUGCUGGGUCAAAACCACUACUUCAACAGGCAAUGAACAAGAUCAUGAAGUCAAAUCCAGCUUUGUAUGUCUUGAGGGAGCGGAUAAGGAAAGGAUUGCAGUUGUAUUCAUCUGAGCCUACGGAACCCUAUUUAUCUUCCCAAAACUAUGGGGAGAUCUUCAGCAAUCAACUUAUUUGGUUUGUUGAUGACACUAAUGUGUAUCGUGUUACAAUCCAUAAAACAUAUGAAGGAAAUGUGACUACGAAACCCAUCAAUGGUGCUAUUUUCAUAUUCAAUCCAAGGACUGGGCAGCUAUUCUUGAAGGUCAUUCACACAAGUGUGUGGGCAGGGCAGAAGCGACGUGGUCAGUUGGCUAAGUGGAAAACCGCAGAAGAAGUUGCUGCGCUUGUGCGUUCUCUACCUGUUGAAGAACAGCCAAAGCAAAUUAUUGUCACUCGUAAGGGAAUGCUGGACCCGUUGGAGGUUCACUUACUGGAUUUCCCCAACAUAGUCAUAAAAGGAAGUGAACUGCAACUUCCUUUCCAGGCUUGCUUGAAGAAUGUGAAAUUUAAUGAUCCGGUAGUAAAGGCCACUGAGCCGCAGAUGGUUCUUUUCAACAUUUAUGAUGAUUGGUUGAAGAGUAUUUUAUCAUGCACUGCAUUCUCCCGGCUCAUUCUGAUCCUUCGCGCACUACAUGUGAACAGUGUUAAGGCGAAUAUGUUGUUGAAGCCUGACAGAACGGUAAUCACUGAGCCACACCACAUCUGGCCUUCUCUUUCUGAUGAUCAAUGGAUGAAGGUCGAGGUUGCUCUAAGAGAUGUCAUACUAUCAGAUUAUGCAACAAAGAACAAUGUGAAUACAUCGGCCCUGACACAGUCUGAGAUUCGUGAUAUCAUACUUGGAGCUGAGAUUACCCCACCUUCUCAACAGAGGCAACAGAUUGCAGAAAUUGAGAAACAGGCUAAAGAAGCAAGUCAGCUGACAGCAGUCGCGACAAGGACUACAAAUGUGCAUGGUGAUGAACUUAUUGUCACCACUACGAGUCCUUAUGAGCAAAAAGCAUCUGGGUCCAAAACUGAUUGGCGUGAGAGAGCAAAGUCUGCUGCAAAUCUGUUCUUGCGAGUCAAUCAUUUAUACGUGAAUUCGGAAGAGAUAAAGGAAACGGGUUACACUUAUAUUAUUCCGAAGAACAUCUUGAAAAAGUUUAUCGGCAUUGCAGAUCUGAGGACGCAAAUUGCUGGUUACUUAUACGGUGUAAGCCCUCCUGACAACCCUCAGGUCAAGGAAGUUUGCUGCAUUGUCAUGCCACCUCAGAAGGGAACCAGCCAGCAGGUUUAUCUCUCAUCAGUUCUUCCUAAGAAUGAUUUCCUCAAUGAUUUGGAGCCUUUGGGAUGGAUGCACACGCAGCCAAAUGAGCAUCCGCAGCUUUCUCAUCAUGAUGUCAUAUCUCAUGCGAAGAUGUUAGACAGCAACACGCAAUGGAAUUUGGAGAAGUGCAUCAUUUUAACCUGCAGUUUCACUCCAGGUUCCUGCUCGUUAACUGCAUAUAAACUCACUCCACCUGGUUAUAAAUGGGGACGUCAAGUCAAUAGACAAGGCAGCGAAGGUGAUAUAACUCCACAGGGAUACCUUCCAACUCAUUAUGAGAAGGUUCAGAUGCUUCUCAGCGACAAAUUUCUUGGUUUCUUCAUGAUACCAGAUAUUGGUUCAUGGAACUACAAUUUCAUGGGGACGAAGCUUACGUCUGGUAUGAAGUAUGACAUCAAGCUUGGGAUACCCAAGGAGUAUUAUGACCAGGACCACCGGCCCACCCAUUUCCUGCAGUUCAGCAACUUGGAGGAGGGUGACAGAGAAGUCGUUCGGGACGAUAACUUCGCAUAAAUAUUUUUUUUCUGGA